GCCGGGAUGGCGGAAUUGGCAGACGCACGGAAUGAGUCAUUUCGUAGUAGGAGAUCCUACUGUACCGGUUCGAGUCCGGAUUCCCGGCACCA
rnacentral:tRNA from 1 species